UGGGGAAUAUUGCGCAAUGGGCGAAAGCCUGACGCAGCAACGCCGCGUGAGGGAUGAAGGCCUGCGGGUUGUAAACCUCUUUUAUCAGGGAAGAAGCGAAAGGGACGGUACCUGAAGAACAAGCACCGGCUAACUACGAGCCAGCAGCGGCGGUAAUCCGUCGGGUGCACGCGUUAUCCGGAAUUAUUGGGCGUAAAGCGCUCGUAGGCGGUUUGUCGCGGCUGCUGGGAAAAUCGGCGGCUCAAACGC
rnacentral:rRNA from 1 species